CAAUCCCUCGCGGGCUGGCGCCGCCCCUACCCGCCCCUCCUUUCUCCGCCUGGCCCUUUUCUUUUUCAGGUGGAGGAGACGCCGGCGCCCCAUCCCGGGGGCGAGCCGACUCCCCGGAUCUGGGGCAGGGGAGAGGCGUCUCCCUCCUCGGGGCCGGGUGGUGAGCGCAGGAGGGAGGACCCAGAAGCGGGCUCUGCCUGGGCUUGCCUGGGCUUGUUCAGAGCCGGGCUGCUUCCCUCAGUGACCGUACAGAGCUGGGGGGAUUUCGCGAUUUUCUGGAGUCUUGGAGCCAAGCCCCGGGAAGGAGGGAGCUGGAAGCCCGCGCGACCUGCUCGCCGCGUUCUGGGGUGAGAGCAGAGACGCUAGGAGGAUGGCAGGAGACGCCUCAUUCGUUCACAACUUUUACUCCUGGAUCCACGCCCUGUUCAAGGCUCUGCAACAGCGGGUAAGACAGCAUCGCUGCCCUCACGGACUUUAAAGUCCAGUCAGGACAACAGAAGAAUCUCACUUGGGGCGGUUUCUGGAGUCUGGUGACCUGGAUCAGCAGCCAGUGCAAGACUGCCAUGGAGAGUGUCCUGAGCAGGUGAGUGCACAUCCAUGGAGGGGCCCAGGCGCUGGCCUCGAGUCUGAGUCCAGCCCCUGGCAGCCUUGCCAGGCCCGGAGGCAGCAGCACGCCCGACAGGUCGGACAGGUGGAGCCAGCCCCGCGGUUGCGGGUCCACAGCUGAAGGUCCGAUCCCUGGUCCUCCCUCAGCCCACAAAGCAGGUAACCCACCUUUUCAUUUUUUCUGCCGGUUUGGUUCGCUGUCAAUCAGGGAACACUUACAGCUUGAGAAGAAGGCCUUUGGGAUUAGCAGGGGAAGUCGUGAAUUUGUUUGGAGAGGGAUUUGUUGUGUUUGUGUGUAUGAAAUCUGGCCUUGGCAUUAGAGAAACAUUUCUAAUUGUCUGGUCCUUUGUUCUGAAAAGUAAAUUUUUUAUGGAGCCUGGAUGCUUAAUGGCAAAUUGGGAAGACAGGGUCCAGAAACGAUGAGAUUCUUUUUGUAACUGCAAAUGGCAAGCCUGUGGAAGGCUUUGUUGUGGUUAGGUGGCUGUCUGUCUUCCAUUUCCAUAAGGAGAGGUUGGGGUGGGGGCUGCCUCUGCUCAGCACCAGGGCUUGGCUUUUUCGGGGCAGCACCCUCAAUGCCUACUCAGAGAAACAUGGGGCAUGUGGGGCUUCUUCCAAAACUCAAAUUUAUAUUACAGCCCCUUGGGCUGGAUUGUAUUUUGAAAUUGUUUGAAGUUUUGAAAUCACCUCUCCCGUUAAGAAGACGAGACUUGUGAAUGCCAGGCUCCAGCAUUUUCAUUCCCACUGUAUUUAGCCAGUGAAUCUUCCCUUAGUCUGCCUUUUGGGGGAUUUCUGGCCUGAGGACAGGAAGGGAAGGAGCCCAGGUCUGAAGAACAAACCCAGGACUCCCCGCCUGAAGCAAGGACUGGUUUUGUCUUAUGUGACAUUGUUGAAAAGGUAUUUACCGUCUUCGUCUCAGCAGUCCAAUCGGUGCUCUCUCCUACCUGCUGCCGUCAUGGAAUGUCGCCCGGAUGCUUCCUGAGAAGAGGGCCUCCCUGGGAGUGAGAGGCUGAGGGCAGACACCAUGAUUGUCUAAAACUGCCCUUGCACGUUAUCCGUUGCAGUGAGAGGACAGGGAAGCUGAUUCUGCUGUCGUUGAACCUUUCGUGACAGAGACAUUGCUUUUUGUUAAGUGGUUUGAUUUUUUUUUUUUUAAUUCCGAGCCCAAAUUGCUUAGACUAUGGGAUAUAUCAGUUAGGAUUCCUUCCUCUGCAAGUAAGAGAAUGACUUAAAUAAUCAGAACAUUAAAAAUGUUAUAAAACGUUAAGUCCAGAGGUCAGGCAGCUUCGUGAUGGGUAAUAUCCAGUGGCCCAGCGAUGUCCAGGAGUAAGGUUCGCUCCGUGUGUCUGCUCUCUCAUCCUCCACAUACUGACUUCGUCUCCCACCAGCUCCCAUUCUCUUCCUGGGGGUCUCUUGCUAUGAAUGAGGAAACCUUUCCCGAAGCCCCUGCUGACUUUCCCAAGAAUCUCAUUGGCCAGAAUUAUGUCUCCUGCCCAGCCCCAGGCACUCAGUGGCAACGGAAGGGGUUAUGGUGAUGGAAUUCACGCGGCACAUAACUAGGGAGAAGAGGGUAGAUCAUCCGAACCAAAUCAGGGCCUGUGAUCGGGAGAAGAAGGGGCGUGUAUUUGGGGCAGGCAAUGGACAGUAUCUGCUACAUCAGAAAAUUUAUAUGUGUUCAGAUUUCUAACUGACUUGGGGGUAAUACAGUAACUCUUACUCCUAAAAUACAUAUAUUUUAUACUCAAUUGUUAAUGCAAAGGGUAGUUUUAGAUAAUCGUGGUGUCUACUCAGCCUUUUGCUUCCCAGGGAGGCCCUCUUCCCAGAAAGCAUCUGAACUGGUGGUUUUCAAGUGUUUGAGCUCUUUUCCCUCUUGGUGAACCUGCUGCCUCCCAGAGUUGGCUGCUCAAGGCUCCAUCCCCAAGAACUAGAAUAGGAAAAAAUGAGAGUUCUAAAUAUUGAGGUGUUACACGAACAAGUCUCCCAGCUCUGCAGAGGGAGAGGCAACAUGCUUCUGGCUGGCAGCUCCCAAGAGCCGGCAAGCACGCCCGCCAUUCACCCGGGACACUGCAGGAUCAGCGAGGGACAGGCAUGCACCAGCGUCACCCACUGAGGGUUUGCUGGAGUUUUCUGUUUUCUCCAGGACAGGCACAGGUGGCUCCUGAAACUCGGGAGCAACGAGAGUAGUGGCUGCCCUGCCGGGAAAGCUGGUUCCAGUGGACACAGACCUGAUGGUAAUUUUUGAGGCUGAAAAUAUCCAAGUCGCUCUUUCUUGGCCCCGUCCCUGGGACCCCCAUUCUUAAGGCAGGUUUCUCUCUGCCCUGGCUCCAACCUGGACGGUCUCCGAAGCUCCUCUGAGCCACCAUCAGCUUCCUGCAGCUGGGUCAGGUUUUCCGGAUGAGAUCAACGCAAGGGCAGAAGAAUUCCUUCGAGCUUUCGACGUCGUCGUGAAACGCAGGAGGAUACUUCUCAGUACAGUGCUUCUUCCACAGGCGGGUGCUUCAAGAACACCUGUUCUCCUGGUUCAGAACUGCUUGUGGUUGUAAUUUUGCAUGUCUGUGAUUUCUGCGCAUCUCUCCCCAUGGAUCCCCCAAGGGCCAGGACGGCCGCCGUCCUCCCUGUCCAGUCCUCAACACCCAGCGCAGCUUCAGCCCAUCUCAGGCGCUCGGUUGGUAGGUAAUGGGUGCGUGAAGGUCCGGUCAUGCUUUCUGAAAGACGUGCUGUGGGAUUAGGAGGCUUCCAGAGAGAAUUUCCACAUCUCCUGGAGAGGGAGGGCUUCUGCUUUCCCAGGAAUCAUAGCAUCCAAGAGGCUUGUUAUGACAGUCUACUUUCUCUUCAGCACUUAAAAGUUAAGUGCUAGGAACUUAAAACUCUCCUGGUAAAAAUGACUUCUGGUUUUCUCGCAUUCCUGCUGGUUCCUGGGCCAGCAGCGCUGGCUCUGCAGCAAGACGCCUCGGGCCUGGGGCUCAAAGGGCCGCUGUAAGGAGAAGUGAGGUGAAGGCAGAAUCAGGGCUCUGAGCUGAGCUCCACGCCUUUUAAGCAUCUUGUGUCCAUGCAGCAGAAGCUCGCCUGGUAACUGGACCAAAGGCCUUUCCGUAGAAAGGAAUGUACGUUUCAGUCUAAGUGUGUUCCCUCUGACCUCGGUGUGACUCUCCAGGAAAGUCUGACUGGGUUAAAGACUGCUGAUUUGGUGUAUUUUGUGUUUCAUGGAACAGUGAAAUUUCAGGCACUGACUGAUUAUUCACCUUUUCCUGAAGUCCUGCCUCUUCUGUCUGACUAGAAGAUUAUCCCUGAAGUCCAGGCCUCCUCUCUCUGACUGGGAAGAUUGUCUCUCUGUCUGACCAGAACUGCAAGACCAGCCCUGGUGCCUGGGGCGCAGCCUCCAUAGACAGACUCUUCACUCAGGUCACUGCCCGGAUUCAGAAAAUGUGGUUCUGCGUGGAAAUCAGGGGCCGGGCUGCUUAGCAGAAGGUGCAUCUGGUCUUGCUUUUCUGAGCCGUCUUCUCCUUUGGGACUGUUUCUGAGCCGGAGGGUGGGCUGGAUCAAGGCUGUGGCAGUUCCCUUGUCUUCUCACGCUCUGUUAGUGCUUGUUGAGACUUCUGCUGGGGUUCAGAGCAAGCCCCAUCCCCAAGAAACGCACAGGCCCUUCCACCUUCCCGACCCGACCUUUGUUCUCUGCAGCAGCAGUGCCAUGUGCUGGGUCCCAAAUCAGUGAGAGCUCGUGAGCCCACUCCCGCCCCUCACACCCCAUCUUUGGGUGGGCCAGCCGGUCCCAAAUGCUGUUCUGUGCUCACAGAGACCAUGUGUGCCACUGUUGCUUUAUUUCCACUGUGUCUCUGUCUUUACCUCGGGAAGUCUUUCUGUUGUCAGUAUUCGGGGGUCCCCAUCUGGGCGUUGAGAUGGGGGGAACUUGAUUCAGGCUCCUGCUUCUCCCUGUGCUUUUUGAGGACAUGGUCCCUGCAGAAAGUGCCUUUGGCCCCGUCCCAGACCUGCCGGAUCAGAAGCUCCGGAGUGGAGCUGGGAAACUGCACUUUACCAAGCUUCCAGGUGAUUCUUCCACACGAUAAAGCUCUAAUCUGAUAAAUGUGCUUUGCUGGAACACACCUUUGGGAGAAAAUUGGACAUAUUAGGAGCAUUUUUCCCACACUAAAAAAUCGUAAUUCAAGUCCAGUCUGGCUUGCUUUUUGGCAGAGCAUUUCAGGUUCAGCUGUUCGGGGGCAAAGGACUAAGGUAAGAGUGAACUCCCAUCUACACCCACUGGACAUUCAGUAGCCCUGGGAGGGGAGCCUUGUGCCUGCCUGCUGGGCAUGUGGGAAGGCCGUGGGGACUUCCUCCUCUUGGGCAGAGAGGUUGUGCUGACUCCUGAGCUGCUUUUAUCUGCACCACCUCGCCUGUGACUCCGGUUUGUCGGACCUCCCCUGCUGGGGUAGAGGUCACAUUGACCCUCCCGAGAACACCUCUGUACGUCCCCACACCCACACGGAAGAGGAACUGUCCCGUCGGUGGUCUACAUCCAAAGCGGUUAGUCCCUGGAUCCUCAAGCAGCCUCUGUGAUGGUCAGCAUGAGGUAUCAGCUUGGCCAGGCUGGAGUACCCAGUAAUUCAACCAAGCGCUAAUCUAGGUGCUGCUGGGAAGGCGUUUUGCAGAUAUGGGUAACGUCUACAAUCAGUUGAGUUUAAGUAAAGAUUAUCCUUGAUAAUGUGGUGGGCCUCAUCCAAUCAGUCGAAGGCCUUAAGAGCAGAGCUGGGGUUUCCCUGAGGAAGAAGAAAUUCCGCCUGCGGACUGCAGUGUCAGCUCUGCCUCAGAGUUUCCAGCCUGGCCUACCCAGCUGACACAAUCACGUGAGCCAAUUCCUUGAAAUAAAUCUCUUAGUCUGUAUCUCCUUCUGGUUCUGUUUCUCUGGCAGAACUCUGACUGACACACUCUCUAAAUGGUGCCCUGGAUGGGACAGAAAUCACUGCUGCUUUGUUCUAUUGUUUCCUUUUCAUAUAGACACGUGGAUUUUAAACUAUCGUCAUUGUCUAACUUUUUGUCUUCCAGGGAAGCGCUGGCUGGUUUUUCCCUCCUUCUCAGCUAGUGGUGGGCCAGCCCUGUUGGGAUCUGUUGCCAGUCUCAACUUUCUCCUCCAUCCUCUCUUUCCUCCCUGGAUUUCCUUCUUCUCCACAGGUCCUGGGGAGAGGCAGGACAGGCCUGCCCCAAGUCGUCGGCAGGGCCAGCUGUGAGUGUUUCUUUGGCAGUGUCUUAGCUGGUUGUUGUGAGUAAUAGUGAAGGAAGCAAUCAGCAAGUAUACUGCCCUAGAAGUGCUGCACGUUGUUGGGCCGAGAGGAAGAAACAGACGGGAGACGCGAGCCAGCGAGAGACGCCUGGGCCAGGAUGUUGGCAGCUCUGCUCCGCCAUGUCGGUUGGUGAGGGCUGCUGGGGAAGCAAGCUGUAGGCCCUGGGAGCGGCCUGCUCACAGAUGUUGAAGGAAAAAGACAUGCAGGCUUGCGUGUGGGCGGCUCCGGGCUGGGAAGGGUUUGCACACAGCCAUAGUAAUAGCCAGCACUUACGGAGCACUUACUAGGUAGGAAGCCCUGUUCUAAGCAUUCUAAAUGUGUUAUCUCGUGAGCAAGAGUCUGUCGUUCUCACCAUCUUAGAAGAAGACAGAGGUGCAAAGAGCAAAAGUAACUAAGGAUGCAACUGAUAGAAAGGGGGGCGACCUUUGAACCCAAGCAGUCUGGCUUGAGAAUCUGUGCCCUACCCACUGGCUCCUGUCCUUAGAGAUGGGCCUAGGGCAGUAUGGCUGCCCUGUGGACCUGCUUUGUGGCGAGACUUGAACGUGGACACACAUGCGUUCUCUCUCCCCCCAUGAGACGAAUUUCGAAUGCAAUCAUUAGCUUUGGAGAAUGCGCCUUUGUGGGCACUGGAAGAUGUGUCUGCCUUGGGGGGAUUUUUCUUUUCGGCUGAAGCCGGGCCCAGGAUGUUGACGGGAAUGAGAAUUUGGUGGUGUUUUCUGCUGCAGUGGCUGAUGGGAAAGGUUCCUCCCAAAGGGAGCUCAGUUGGGAAGAGAGUUCAGUUCUCUGGAUCCCACCAGCUCCACCUACAGGUGCCAGCUUGGGGUCCAGUGAACUGCGAGGCCAGCUGGAUUGCCAUGGCAACAGGAACCAGACCCAAGCCAGCAGAGAAGGGAGAGCGAAGACACAGUGGUGGCUUCUCCAGGUCUUGGACCACAGGGCACAUCCAUGGCCUCCAAUGAGCCUGGGAUAACCUGUUAGCGGGCUCUGCACGUUGACAGAACCCACUAAACCAGCCUUUGGUCCUUGCCUUUGUCCCGUUGGUGUCUUUGUAUCCUUUAAUGUUGAGCUAUGAGUACUCCAGUUCUCUGUCCCACUGAUUUUUUCCAUUGUUCUCCAAACUAGUGCUUAUAGGAAUUCACCCAGAUCUGAAAGGUGAAGCCAAAUGUUGGUGGCUUGCUCCUCUGACCCCAUUGACUAAGACAAGCCUCCAGCGUCCAUGAGGUGAUGGGGCUUCCGGCACCUCUGAUGCAGGCCAAGGACAGCCUUUGAGUGCUCCCUCUGCUCCCCUUCCAGCCACUGCACAGGGUACCUCCCCUGCUCAUGCCCACCUGCCUGGACCCCAUCUUUUGGCUCUGUCUUGCUAUCUCGGUGCUUCCUGGCUCUGAGGGGAGAGGAGCCCAUUUCCUUUCUGACCACUUGAUGAAAGUCAGAGGUCCCUUCCAGAGGUUUUCUGGGAUUCGGAGGCUGACCUUGGCCUUGACACUGUCCGGCUGAUAGGUCCCUCGUCCAGUCUAAGCCAGCCCUCUUGCUCUCAAUGCUGGAGAGCAAAGCGGGCAGCCAGGCUCCCUUUAGCAAACUGGAUUCCUGUGGGAAUUGUUCUGGUUCUCCUCAGAGCUCGGAGGGCUUGCUGCAGAGAGGGUCCCUUUGUGACGCCAUUGGAUUGGCCACGCCCAUGCCCAGUUGGCCACAAGUUCCCCUCUGCUCCCCAGGCCCGUGGAGCGGGGCGUGGGCUGGAGUGGGGCCGAAGGAAUGCCUGGAAUGCUGGCUGCUGUGACAGACCAACACUCAGAUCCCUCAGGGGAGUUUUGACCAGGGCAGCAUUUGGGAUGGCUUCUGAGCCGAAGUCUUUACAUUUUUCCCAGUUUUAGGCAGAAGUAAAGAAUGCCUGCCUUCUCCCAGCCACCAGUUGGUUCAGGGUCUUGAACUUUUGAAUUAAAGGGACCACACUCGUGGAUUAUGAUCUAAUGAACCUAUUAUUGUAGUUCAGGUAGAAUCAUUUGCAAAUAACCUCUUUUCCUAUCUACCUUUGCUUUCAGUUAUGCCAACAAGAAACAAGAGAAAUGGUCCUUCCCAGACAGAGUUCCCCCGCAGAAGUUCUUGGGUAAUAAGUAAGGAAACGGAAACAGCAGGCAGGCUUUGCUUCGGUUCAGGUCUUUGAUAAAACUGAUGUCUUUGUGGCAAUUUAAUUUACUUCUGCAGUCUUUAGAGCAGAUGUGUAGGAUAGAUUCUGUCAUCUUUGUAUCUGACAGUGGUAGAAGAAAUGUAUUGGGGUAUAUUUCCAGCUCUUUAUCUUUCUAUCACUCCUGGGGAGAUGGGAGGAGCAGUGUUGGCUCCAUGGGAGUGAGUUUAGAAUGGAUUGGGACAAAGAGGGGCUGUUUGUCUCUCUCUCUCUCUCUCUCUCUCACACACACACACACGCGCUCGCACACGCGUGCCCACUGGCCAUGAGUUUGGGGAGUUCGAGGUCCAGCAAGUUGAGGAUACGCUGACCCUUGGCAGAGGGCACUUCUGCUUUUGGGACUGUGCGGGCACAUUCCAGUCAAUAGCUGGUGGGUGGGAGAGAGGAGUCAAGAAUUUCACAAUUGGACUUGAGUUUGGAGGCAGGUGGAAUUAGGCGCAGAUUUUAUGUUUUGGGGGAAAGUAUUUGAUCUUCUUGACUAUGAGGCAAAUAGAUUAAAAUAUAUAUUUGGGGGCCGGCCUGGUGGCAUAGUGGUUAAGUUCACAUGCUCUGCUUUGGUGGCCUGGGGUUUGUGGGUUCGGAUCCUGGGCGUGGACCUACACACUGCUCAUCAAGCCAUGCUGUGGCGGCGUCCCACAUUCAACAUAGAGGAAGAUUGGCACAGAUGUUAGCUCAGGACCAAUCUUCCUCACCAAAAAAUAAAUAAAAUAAAAGAUAUAUUUGAUUAAAAAAUAUAUAUAUAUACAUAUAUAUUUAAUAAGCUCUGCAGAUUGUACUAAUAUCAAUUUCCUGGUUUUGAUGUUGUUCUGUAGUUACACAAGAUGUUACCACUGGGAGAAACUGAGUGAAGGGGACACAGGAUCUCUCUGUACCUUUUUUUUCGCAAUUUCCUGUAAAUCUAUGAUUAUUUCAAAAUAAAAAGUUAAAACAUAUAUAUUUAUAUUUGCCUGAAUGCUAGUGUGGUAUCCUGGAUUGGAUCCUGACUGAAAAGGGACAUGAGUAGAAAAUCUGGUAAAACACAAAAAAGGUCUUUGGCUUAGUUAAAAGUAAUAUACUAAUGUUAAUUUCUUAGUUUUGACAAAUGUCCCAUGGUUGUGUAAGAUGUUAACAUUAAAAGAAAC